rnacentral:rRNA from 1 species
CCUACGGGUGGCAGCAGUGGGGAAUAUUGCACAAUGGGGGAAACCCUGAUGCAGCGACGCCGCGUGAGUGAAGAAGUAAUUCGUUACGUAAAGCUCUAUCAGCAGGGAAGAAAAUGACGGUACCUGAGUCAGAAGCCCCGGCUAACUACGUGCCAGCAGCCGCGGGAACACGUAGGGGGCCAGCGUUAUCCGGAUUUACUGGGUUUAAAGGGAGCGUAGACGGUUCUCCAAGUCCGGAGUGAAAUGCCGCAGCUUAACCGCGGAACUGCUGUGGAAACUGGCGAACUCGAGUGUGGGAGGGGUAAGCGGAAUGCGUAGUGUAGCGGUGACAUGCGUAGAUAUUAGGAGGAACACCGGUGGCGAAGGCGGCUUACUGGACCGUAACUGACGUUGAGGCUCGAAAGCGUGGGGAGCAAACAGGAUUAGAUACCCGGGUAGUC